CCNGAGUACUAUGAAUAUUAUAAAUUUAAAACUCAAAGAACUUGGCGGUGUUUUAGACCACUCAGGGGAACCUGUCUCGUAAUCGACAAUCCACGUUGUACCUGACCUUUCUUUGUUUUCAGUUUGUAUACCGUUGUCGUCAGGUAACUUUUUAGAAUAUAGAAGUUGGCUAGAAAAAUAAAUAAUUUAGUACGUCAAAUCAAGGUGCAGCUAAUAGAAAGGGGAGGAUGGGUUACAGUUAUCUAUUUAUAAUUACGGAUGAUUAUAAUAAAAUGUAAUGUUAGAAGGAGGACUUGAAAGUAAAUUAGGUUUAUAAAAAUAAGUUUGAAUAAGGCUCUGAAACGUGU
rnacentral:rRNA from 1 species